UACGUAGGGGCCGAGCGUUGUCCGGAGUUACUGGGCGUAAAGCGUGCGCAGGCGGUUCGUUGUGUCGGCGGUGAAAGCCCCGGGCUCAACCUGGGAAUGGCCGUUGAAACUGGCGAACUGGAGUGUGGCAGAGGGGGGUGGAAUUCCGCGUGUAGCAGUGAAAUGCGUAGAGAUGCGGAGGAACACCGAUGGCGAAGGCAGCCCCCUGGGCUGACACUGACGCUCAGGCACGAAAGCGUGGGGAGCAAACAGG
rnacentral:rRNA from 1 species